rnacentral:misc_RNA from 1 species
GGGAACUGCUCCAUUUCACCAGUUUAACAUCACCACCAAGCUCUUGCAAACAUUGAGCAAAGUUACUUAUAAUUUGACAGGGGGCAAGCUCGUCGUCUUCUGAACAAAAUAUGAGAACUGGCCCUAUACUAACUGAGGAGUACAGAGUCUGCCAGUACUGAGCACGUUCUGCUUCAAUUCUACUUAAAAAGAGGGCAUCCAAACCAGAUGUGACAGUCCUUGCCAUCCAUGAAACAACUCUUGGUGGCUUUGGAUGUAGAAGAAAUCUACUGCCCAGAUCCGUAGUGAAAUCUACAGGGCUGGAAUCAUAAAUUUGCCCACACAUACAGUCUCUUACCAGGUGAUAUUCAUCCAGGCAGAGUUUUCCUUCACAUUUUCCUUCGAUCAACUGGAUAACCUUGUACAAGCAGCCCUUCGAUCCCCCAGAAAAAGCG